rnacentral:rRNA from 1 species
UACGGAGGAUUCAAGCGUUAUCCGGAUUUAUUGGGUUUAAGGGGUGCGAAGGCGGUCGGAUAAGUUAGAGGUGAAAUCCCGGGGCUCAACUUCGGAAUUGCCUCUGAUACUGUUCGGCUAGAGAGUAGUUGCGGUAGACGGAAUGUAUGGUGUAGCGGUGAAAUGCUUAGAGAUCAUACAGAACACCGAUUGCGAAGGCAGCUUACCAAGCUACUUCUGACGUUGAGGCACGAAAGCGUGGGGAGCAAACAGG